CAUCUUGUCUUUUUUUUUUUUUUUGAGAAUAAGAUAUGGAUGCCAUUAAAAUUGAUGGAACUAAUCCUAAUUAAUGCAAAAGUUGUACCCUACUUAGUUCUUAAAGGACUUAAAUCGUCCAGUCUUAAAAAGAAACAAAUAAACAACCUAAAAGAAGCAAACCCUAAAAAUUGACUACAUCCUAGUUUCUAGAAAAAAAACCCAGUAGUUUCUCUUUUGGCAAUUCACUCUUUCAUCUACCACCAUCGUUCCACCCUGAAAUGAUCUGUACUUUUAGCGUCCUCCAUGAAAGUUCUUGUAGAAAAAAGAAACCGACGAAACCUUUCGUUUUUCAUUUCUUCCAACCCAUUUCAAAUCCUGUUCGAAAAAUUUCUGUCUCUUUUAGCCGCUAACUCUACCCUUUGAGGGGCCUCAUCAAUCCAUACCUUUGUUCCUGGCCAGUUCUUCCCUUCCUCUGCCAUUACGUGCGCCGUUUGGUUUGUUGUUCAUCCAGCGAAAGAGCAGGUAACAUUUUCGAAUCUCCGACAUCUUUCUUUUAUUUCUUGAAUAAUCACCGCAAUACCAUAUUUUCUUGAUUACUGUCAAGGAAUCUCCUUCCACUAUCAUAUUUCGAAAACCCAGCUCCUCAGCCACCGAAACUGCCUAAAGACAUUCUUUCGCCUCUACCGUGGUGGCAUCUACUAUAAAGGUGUUGUGGUCUUGGAAUCCACGCCUCAUUCCAAACAUUAAUGGAUUUUCCAUCACCAACCCUCCAACCCAAACCCUCAUCUAGGAGUCUUCUUACGCUCUAUAUGCUCCACCAGGUAUAAGAUGGGAGGUCUAUUGGAGACAUGAUUUAAAUAAAUAAAAGAUGGCCAUGCACAAAUUAUCCAUGUGGAUGGCAAGACCAUGUAAUUUUGGGCAUGGGGUUGACUACUUGACCCAGUAAAGAAGAGAGGAGUGGUGGCAUUUCAUCUUCAUCUUUUCACCACCGAAACCAAAGAAAUAAAGAAGAAGAACAAAAGCUUUGCAUGCCAUUUUCAAGCCAUUGUUGUGAGCUCUAACAUGGAAAAGUUGAAAAUGAUGUCGGAAUGUCACGGGGCAAUAGGAAGACGAAGACGAGCAACGAGCCACAAGCAACAAAUUCAACGGCUAUUAUGUUAUGGAUCAACAAGGAGAGUCAGUAACAUCUAGAUCUCACAUCUCAACUCAACUAGACUUUUGCAAUGCUUCAUUUUAUUUAUGAGUUGUAAAGGCAUGUACUUAGAUAAUUAGGGUCCUAUAAGGUCUUUUUAUUGGUAUAGACUGUUGAUGUCUCUGUUGGGGCAUUUUUUUGUCACUUGGUAAUCUUUGACGAUGACAUUUAAACUAAUAAGUAUAAGUCAUGAUGUUGCUAUGUAACAAAUUAUGUAUACCUAUGGGUGUUAACUAGUUGAGAUGUUACUAGGUGUUAAUUAUGUGUGUUUGUGUGCCAAGUUGGUGUUGGUUGAUAUUAUGUUAUAAUGGUUUUAUAGAA